UAAACCCCCCCCUCUCGGUUUACUUCUCGUUUUUUUUUUAUUUUAUUGAAGUCCGAUGGUGAUGAUGGUGAUUUCAUUUCAAGACCAUUUUGGUGACGGUUCGGUUUUGGGUUCGGAUUAACUCGGGUUUCGGUUCGGUUCGAGGGUAGUUCGGUCAAACCUGGUCAACACAGUGAGCUGACUUGGUCAACUCAACCGGUCAACUCAGUUGACCCGGUCAACUCAGCCACCUUCUUUUUCGGCGUUUCGACAUGAAGAUUCGGAAUACUAUAGUUGCACGCUAGCGAUUCACGUUCUUGGAACGGCACUACGGAAACACGCUAGGCUAGCUUUGCACAGGAAUGUCAAGGUUGCAUUUUAAAAACUAAGGAACGGUUGGAAUAGGAGAACCCAUGGAAAUUCGAGUACCUAGCAGGCGUUCACUAUUUAAAAGUCUUAGCCUUUUGCUUCCGCUGUGCAAUGAAGAUACCGGUCCAG